rnacentral:rRNA from 1 species
GACGAACGCUGGCGGCGUGCUUAACACAUGCAAGUCGAACGAAGAGCGAUGGAAGCUUGCUUCUAUCAAUCUUAGUGGCGAACGGGUGAGUAACGCGUAAUCAACCUGCCCUUCAGAGGGGGACAACAGUUGGAAACGACUGCUAAUACCGCAUACGAUCUAAUCUCGGCAUCGAGGAUAGAUGAAAGGUGGCCUCUACAUGUAAGCUAUCACUGAAGGAGGGGAUUGCGUCUGAUUAGCUAGUUGGAGGGGUAACGGCCCACCAAGGCGAUGAUCAGUAGCCGGUCUGAGAGGAUGAACGGCCACAUUGGGACUGAGACACGGCCCAGACUCCUACGGGAGGCGGCAGUGGGGAAUCUUCCGCAAUGGACGAAAGUCUGACGGAGCAACGCCGCGUGAGCGAUGACGGCCUUCGGGUUGUAAAGCUCUGUUAAUCGGGACGAAAGGCCUUCUUGCGAAUAGUGAGAAGGAUUGACGGUACCGGAAUAGAAAGCCACGGCUAACUACGUG